UCCUAAGGGAGGCAGCAGUAGGGAAUCUUCCGCAAUGGACGAAAGUCUGACGGAGCAACGCCCCGUGAACGAUGAAGGCCUUCGGGUCGUAAAGUUCUGUUGUUAGGGAAGAACAAGUACCAGAGUAACUGCUGGUACCUUGACGGUACCUAACCAAAAAGCCACGGCUAACUACGUGCCAGCAGCCGCGGUAAUACCUAGGUGGCAAGCGUUGUCCGGAAUUAUUGGGCGUAAAGCGCGCGCAGGUGGUUUCUUAAGUCUGAUGUGAAAGCCCACGGCUCAACCGUGGAGGGUCAUUGGAAACUGGGGAACUUGAAUGCAAAAGAAGAAAGUGGAAUUCCAAGUGGAGCGGUGAAAUGCGUAAAGAUUUGGAGGAACCCCAGUGGCGAAGGCGACUUUCUGGCCUGUAACUGACACUGAGGCCCCAAAACGUGGGGAACGAACAGGAAUAAAAACCCUGGGUACCCACCCCGAAAACGAAAAAUGCUAAAAGGUAAAAGGGUUUCCCCCC
rnacentral:rRNA from 1 species